rnacentral:rRNA from 1 species
UACGUAGGGACCAAGCGUUGUUCGGAUUUACUGGGCGUAAAGGGCGCGUAGGCGGCCCGCUAAGUCGAACGUGAAAUCCCCAGGCUCAACCUGGGAACUGCGUCCGAUACUGGCAGGCUUGAAUCCGGGAGAGGGAUGUGGAAUUCCAGGUGUAGCGGUGAAAUGCGUAGAUAUCUGGAGGAACACCGGUGGCGAAGGCGGCAUCCUGGACCGGUAUUGACGCUGAGGCGCGAAAGCUAGGGUAGCAAACGGG